CUCAGAUUGAACGCUAGCGGCAGGCUUAAUACAUGCAAGUCGAGGGGCAGCACGGUUAGCAAUAACUGGUGGCGACCGGCGCACGGGUGCGUAACACGUAUACAAUCUACCUUAAACAGGGGGAUAGCCUUUCGAAAGAGAGAUUAAUACCCCGUAAUAAAUUGAACGGCAUCGUUUGAUUUGAAAGCUCCGGCGGUUUGAGAUGAGUAUGCGUCUGAUUAGCUAGUUGGUGAGGUAACGGCUCACCAAGGCGACGAUCAGUAGGGGACCUGAGAGGACUAACCCCCACACUGGUACUGAGACACGGACCAGACUCCUACGGGAGGCAGCAGUAAGGAAUAUUGGUCAAUGGAGGCAACUCUGAACCAGCCAUGCCGCGUGCAGGAUGACGGCCCUAUGGGUUGUAAACUGCUUUUAUACAAGAGAAAACCCUGGUACGUGUACCAAGUUGAUAGUAUUGUAAGAAUAAGCAUCGGCUAACUUCGUG
rnacentral:rRNA from 1 species